GCCCGGAUUCUGUGGGAGCUGCG
rnacentral:miRNA from 15 species